AUUGAACGCUGGCGGCAUGCCUUACACAUGCAAGUCGAACGGUAACAGGUCUUCGGAUGCUGCCGAGUGGCGAACGGGUGAGUAAUACAUCGGAACGUGCCCGAUCGUGGGGGAUAACGAAGCGAAAGCUUUGCUAAUACCGCAUACGAUCUACGGAUGAAAGCAGGGGACCGCAAGGCCUUGCGCGAACGGAGCGGCCGAUGGCAGAUUAGGUAGUUGGUGGGAUAAAAGCUUACCAAGCCGACGAUCUGUAGCUGGUCUGAGAGGACGACCAGCCACACUGGGACUGAGACACGGCCCAGACUCCUACGGGGGGCAGCAGUGGGGAAUUUUGGACAAUGGGCGAAAGCCUGAUCCAGUCAUGCCGCGUGCAGGAUGAAGGCCUUCGGGUUGUAAACUGCUUUUGUACGGAACGAAAAGACUCUGGUUAAUACCUGGGGUCCAUGACGGUACCGUAAGAAUAAGCACCGGCUAACUACGUG
rnacentral:rRNA from 1 species